rnacentral:tRNA from 1 species
GGAGUUGUGGCUCAGAGGUAGAGCACUUGCCUAGUAUGCUUGAGGCACUGGGCUCGAUUCUCAGCACCA